UUUCUGUAAAGGUGACUUGAGGAAUCAUAAAAUCACGUCAUAAUUUAGGGACCUACUGAAGAUUCAUUAAUUUUAUCAUGGAUUUAGAAAUAAAAUACCUUUUUUUCGUGAUAUCUUAAUGGAUGCUAUUGCCAAAGUGUGCAUAGAAGCCUGUAGAAAGUUUAUACUUCUUUGAACUAAUAAAUUUGCUUAUACUCUUUAAAUUCUUCAAAUAUUGAAACCUAAUGAGAACUAAUGAACCCACUGUAAUUCAUGGCUCUACCGUUAGAUUCAUUCUUUAAACAUGCAAAAGAAACAAGCAGUAAAUUUAUCACAG
rnacentral:lncRNA from 1 species